AGAAUGCGGGGCGAGGAGCGGGGGGAAGAGGAGGGGGGCAAGGGGUUGUGGGAUUUAGGGGGCGGAAAGGGCGCGUAGGCGGCAAUCGCAAGGCAGUUGUGAAAGCGCUGGGCUGAACCCAGAAAGGUCAACUGGUACUGCGGGGCGAGAGUGCAGAAGGGGCAACUGGAAUGCUCGGUGUAGCGGUGAAAUGCGUAGAUAUCGAGAGGAACACCUGCGGCGAAGGCGGGUUGCUGGGCUGACACUGACGCUGAUGCGCGAAAGCUAGGGGAGCGAACGGGAUUAGAUACCCGGGUAGUC
rnacentral:rRNA from 1 species